AACGAACGCUGGCGGCAUGCCUAACACAUGCAAGUCGAACGAGACCUUCGGGUCUAGUGGCGCACGGGUGCGUAACGCGUGGGAACCUGCCCUUAGGUUCGGAAUAACUCCCCGAAAGGGGUGCUAAUACCGGAUAAUGUCUUCGGACCAAAGAUUUAUCGCCUUUGGAUGGGCCCGCGUUGGAUUAGCUAGUUGGUAGGGUAAAAGCCUACCAAGGCGAUGAUCCAUAGCUGGUCUGAGAGGAUGAUCAGCCACACUGGGACUGAGACACGGCCCAGACGCCUGCGGGAGGCAGCAGUGGGGAAGAUUGGACCAUGGGCGAAAGGCUGAUCCUGCCAUGUCGCGUGAGUGAUGAAGCCCUUGGCGUUGUAAAGCUCUCUUAACCGGGAUGAGAUUGACAGUACCGGGAGAAUAAGCGCCGGCUAACUCCGUG
rnacentral:rRNA from 1 species